UACGAAGGGGGCUAGCGUUGCUCGGAAUCACUGGGCGUAAAGCGCACGUAGGCGGAUUGUUAAGUCAGGGGUGAAAUCCUGGAGCUCAACUCCAGAACUGCCUUUGAUACUGAGGAUCUCGAGUCCGGGAGAGGUGAGUGGAACUGCGAGUGUAGAGGUGAAAUUCGUAGAUAUUCGCAAGAACACCAGUGGCGAAGGCGGCUCACUGGCCCGGUACUGACGCUGAGGCACGAAAGCGUGGGGAGCAAACAGG
rnacentral:rRNA from 1 species